rnacentral:ncRNA from 1 species
ACCCCUGUGAGAAUGCCCCACCCCUCCCGCUGGGAGACCGGGAGCAGGUAUCAGGCACAUUUUUAUAGCCCAUGACGCCUUGCUUAGCCACACCCCCAAGGGAACUCAGCAGUGAUAAAUAUUAAGCCAUAAGUGAAAACUUGACUUAAUUAUGGCUAAGAGGGCCGGUAAACCUCGUGCCAGCCACCGCGGUUAUACGAGAGGCCCAAGUUGACAGCCACCGGCGUAAAGCGUGGUUAAGUUUUAAAUCAGUACUAAAGCCGAAUGAAUACAAAGCUGUUAUACGCACUCGAAACCAGAAGCCCAAUUACGAAAGUAGCUUUAUACAAACUGAACCCACGAAAGCUAGGGUACAAACUGGGAUUAGAUACCCCACUAUGCCUAGCCCUAAACAUUGAUAGGACAUUACACCCCCUAUCCGCCCGGGUACUACGAGUACUAGCUUAAAACCCAAAGGACUUGGCGGUGCUUUAGAUCCACCUAGAGGAGCCUGUCCUAGAACCGAUAAUCCCCGUUUAACCUUACCUUUUCUUGCCAUCCCCGCCUAUAUACCGCCGUCGCCAGCUUACCCUUUGAAGGUCCUGUAGUAAGCAAAGUUAGUAUUAACUCCACACGUCAGGUCGAGGUGUAGCGUAUGAAGAGGAAAGAGAUGGGCUACAUUUACUGACCCAGUAAACACGAAUGAUCCAGUGAAACCCUAUAUCUGAAGGAGGAUUUAGUAGUAAGCAGAAAGCAGAGCGUUCUGCUGAAUUUGGCCCUGAAGCGCGCACACACCGCCCGUCACUCUCCCCCAAACAAAUUAUGAAAACUAAAUUAUACGUGUCAAAAAUCAAGGGGAGGCAAGUCGUAACAUGGUAAGUGUACCGGAAGGUGUACUUGGAAAAACC